AAUUUGAAAUCUGGCCCCCCGCGGGCCCGAGUUGUACUUUGGAGAGGACGCUUCUGGCGCGGCGCCGUCCGAGUUCCCUGGAACGGGACGCCGGAGAGGGUGAGAGCCCCGUACGGGCGGCCGCCUAGCCUCUGCGAAGCUCCUUCGACGAGUCGAGUAGUUUGGGAAUGCUGCUCAAAAUGGGAGGUAAAUUUCUUCUAAAGCUAAAUACCGGCCAGAGACCGAUAGCGCACAAGUAGAGUGAUCGAAAGAUGAAAAGCACUUUGAAAAGAGGGUCAAACAGUACGUGAAAUUGUUGAAAGGGAAGCGCCUGUGGCCAGACUUGCGCCCCGCGGACCACCCGGCGCCUCGCGCGCCGGGGCACGCCAGCGGGGCGCAGGCCAGCAUCGGCUCUCUCGGGGGGACAAAGGCCGCGGGAACGUAGCGCCCUCGCGGCGUAUUAUAGCCCGCGGCGCCAUGCCCCCGGGGGGGCCGAGGACCGCGCUCCGGCAAGGAUGCUGGCGUAAUGGCCACCGGCGACC
rnacentral:rRNA from 1 species